CGGGUGUGUAUAGAGUGGCGAACGGGUGAGUAACACGUGACCAACCUGCCUCUUACAUUGGGACAACCAAAAGAAAUUCUGGCUAAUACCAAAUACUCCGCACAUAUCACAUGAUGUAUGCGGGAAAGCUUUUGCGGUAAGAGAUGGGGUCGCGGCCCAUUAGGUAGACGGCGGGGUAGAAGCCCACCGUGCCGAUGAUGGGUAGCCGGGUUGAGAGACCGACCGGCCACAUUGGGACUGAGAUACGGCCCAGACUCCUACGGGAGGCAGCAGUGGGGAAUAUUGCGCAAUGGGGGAAACCCUGACGCAGCAACGCCGCGUGCGGGAUGAAGGCCUUCGGGUUGUAAACCGCUUUCAGCAGGGAAGACAUCGACGGUACCUGCAGAAGAAGCCCCGGCUAACUACGUGCCAGCAGCCGCGGUAAUACGUAGGGGGCGAGCGUUAUCCGGAUUCAUUGGGCGUAAAGCGCGCGCAGGCGGUUGCUCAAGCGGAACCUCUAAUCUCGGGGCUUAACCUCGAGCCGGGUUCCGAACUGGACGACUCGAGUGCGGUAGAGGCAGAUGGAAUUCCCGGUGUAGCGGUGGAAUGCGCAG
rnacentral:rRNA from 1 species